rnacentral:rRNA from 1 species
AUGAACGCUGGCGGCGUGUCUAAGGCAUGCAAGUCGAACGAAAGCUCGGAGCAAUCCGAAUAUUGAGUGGCAAACGGGUGCGUAACACAUUGGUAACCUGCCCCGCAUUGAGGGACAACUCACCGAAAGGUGGGCUAAUACCUCGUACUAUCACAUGUCAUAUGAUGUGUGAUGAGAGACGUAAGUCGAUGCGGGAGGGGCCUAUGCCCUAUCAGCUAGUUGGUGAGGUAACGGCCCACCAAGGCUCCGACGGGUAGGGGGCGUGAGAGCGCGACCCCCCUCACUGGGACUGAGACACUGCCCAGACUCCUACGGGAGGCUGCAGUCAAGAAUAUUCCUCAAUGGCCGAAAGGCUGAAGGAGCGACGCCGCGUGCAGGAAGAAGGCCUUCGGGUUGUAAACUGCUUUUUUCAGGGACGAAUUCUGACGGUACCUGGAGAAUAAGAGGUUGCUAACUCUGU